GACUUUUUUUUUUUUUUUUUUUUUGAGGUGGAGUCUCGUUCUGUCGCCCAGGCUGGAGUGCGGUGCUGAGAUCUUGGCUUACUGCAACCUCCGCCUCCCAGGUUCAAGCGAUUCUCCUGCCUCAGCCCCCGAGUAGCUGGGAUUACAGGCAUCCACUACUACACCCAGCUAAUUUUUUUUUUUUUAAAGGCAGAUUCUCACUCCAUCACUCAGGUUGGAGUGCAGUGGUGUGAUCUUGGCCCAGUGCACCCUCUCUGCCUCCCAGGUCUAAGCGAUUCUCGUCAUGCCUCAGCCUCCUGAGUAGCUGGGAUUAUAGGCGGGACCACCAUGCCCGGCUAAUUUUUGUAUUUUUAGUAGAGAUGGGGUUUUGCUAUGUUGGCCAGGCUGGGCUCGAACUCCUGACCUCAAGUGAUCCAGCGGCCUUAGUAUCCCAAAAUGCUGGGAUUACAGGUGUAAGCCACUGCACCUGGCCAAGUAAAAGAUAUUUUUGAAAGCACCAAAUAUUCUUUAUGGGUUUUAGGACUUCCAAAAAUGAGGUUUCAGGUAAAUAAGGAAGCUAAACAUUUCAUCUAUCUGCCCAUUGAUCUCGUCCUCAUUUCUGGCAUGUCCUCUUAUAUGUACCAGGUCUGUAUGGUGGAUAGACGUGCAUCAAUCGGUGAUUGUUAAACAAUAAUAUGUGCAAGGAUUUUCGAGGUACAGUGAAUGUCCACCUAACCUUUAACAGGACUGAGGAAAGAGGGAGGAGGUAUCUUAGAAAAGGUCGCAGUUUUUCCUAAGAGUAAGAAACCUCCAGGUGCUGGCUGUGAAGAGAGGAGAAAGGAAGGAACACAUGAGUGGCUGUUAAUUUUACAGAUUGAAGGAGCAAAAGCUUUGAAGUGGGAAAUAACAAGGAGAGUGGUGAGCAGGGGGAGGGAUUUGGGAUGGUGGCAGGGAGAAGGGUGGUAUUGUUAGGACCCUGAAUGUGCUAGAAUGCUGAGAGGGACUGUCAAGGGUCAGAUGUUCAAGCACCUCAUGCAUAAUGUUAAGGAGCCUAAAGUUUAUCCCUAAAGUUAUUGAAGGGUUUUUAUGUUCAGAAAGGAUAUGCUUAGGUCUGUCAUUCUAAUGGAUUGGGGGAAGGAGGAUUGGGAGAUGGAAGAUAGACGAGACAAGAGACCUAGAAUCUAUUUAGACUCUGACAGUGUCCCAGACACUGGAAUGAGGAUCUGAAGUAGUAGGAACAACGGGACAGAGACAUUCGGUAAUAUGUAAGAGCUUCAGCUGACCAGCCUGGUGAUCAGUUUAAUGUGACAGAGAAGAGGGAGGAAGAAAUAUCAGAAUGGGAUUUUCAUUUCAAGAAUAUAAGUACUAGGCUCAUCACCACCACAUGAGAUAGAAAACAUACACAAACACACACACACACACACACACACACACACACACACACACACACACACACACAGUGAGUUAGCUGAAACAUUUCUUAGAAUGAAGAGAUAGACACUAAGUUUUAAAUUCCUGGCUUACGUUCAUGGAACAUAUUACCCAGUUUGUAAAACAAGUCUUGUGUCUACAAAUUGUUCACUGGCAUAUAUUAACAAGAUGAUAAUAAGGCCCCCAGAUAUUCACAUUUGUACGAAA
rnacentral:lncRNA from 1 species